CCUCCUGUAGCUCAGGGGAAGAGUGCGGUCCUUAUAAGGCCGUGGUCGCAGGUUCGAUCCCUGCCGGGAGGA
rnacentral:tRNA from 1 species